GGUAGGCUAUUUACAUUUAACUGAGACUUCUGCAGAUUUUCCUCCGAAAUCAGCACAGAAAAUGCAAAAAAAAGUCAGCAGAUUCCGUCUGGGCCUAGUCAUGUGUUAUCUUUGCCUGGGGCACUGAGUGAACCAGGACUUCCACCGCCACCCCUUCAAAAUAAAAAAGUCACAUAUAGUACCUUAGAGGAAGAGCUUCAGCAUAGAGGUGUGCAUAAAAAAGAGAGAGAGUGUGCGGCUCAAGGACAUGGUAUGGUCACUUACAUCUUGUACUCCAUUACACAUGACUAUCAUAUCCAGACCCCUCACAGAACAUCAAGUGAAGAGUUAUGAUAGGAAAUUCACAUUUCAUAAGAUCAUCUCAUCAGAACAUUUGUGUGUUUGUAUGUGUGUUGAUGUUGUGCAUGCAGAUGUAUUCAGCCUGGAAUAAAGCCUGAAGCAUCUUCACUAUUG